UACGUAGGUGGCGAGCGUUGUCCGGAUUUACUGGGCGUAAAGGGAGCGUAGGCGGACUUUUAAGUGAGAUGUGAAAUACUCGGGCUCAACUUGAGUGCUGCAUUUCAAACUGGAAGUCUAGAGUGCAGGAGAGGAGAAUGGAAUUCCUAGUGUAGCGGUGAAAUGCGUAGAGAUUAGGAAGAACACCAGUGGCGAAGGCGAUUCUCUGGACUGUAACUGAUGCUGAGGCUCGAAAGCGUGGGGAGCAAACAGG
rnacentral:rRNA from 1 species